UUCGAUACAUCGAUAUUUCCGACCAUUGCAUCGAUGACUUGAACGAAAGCACAUCGAUAUUAGUAGUUUUGGUCAGUCAAAAAAAAAACAUUGAACGGGAUGGACGCGUUUGUUGUUAUUUUUUAGUUCUUACAUUUCCGUCGUCGUUUGUUGUUUUCUUGUGUUGCCGAAGAUAUAAAUAAGUUUCUGCAAAUAAAUUACACGUUGCAAUUUGGUCAUGACGACCAUGGCAGAGGAUGGGCAUGGCACUGCUUCUAUGAGGUGUUAAUUGGACUCUUCCCGCUGCUCAAAGCACGCAAAGCAAAACACAAAAAAAAAAAAAAAAAAAAAAAAAAAAAAA
rnacentral:sRNA from 1 species